CCAUAAGUACUACACCACCAAGUCUCCAGAUUAUUACACCACAACUUCGCUGCCCCGAGCAACUUAACCGAAUCCCUGAAGUAUUAUUCUUCCCCGAACUACGCCAUCAAAGGGUCGAGUACUACACCGAGGCCCCUAAUUACUACACCACUACAUAUCAUGGUCGUAUAAAAGGAGAGAAAAGGCGAUAGAUAUCAGUCGAAUGGUUAUCACCGACAUGGCAACAACUGCAGUGCAGUAGUCGUCACCAACUGCAUUCUUCGUCGAACCACCAGUUUUGCAAUCAUGGUAAACUAUUUUGUCGUGCUGCUGUUGGGUGUCGUUUCGUUGAUGGCUGAGUCGACCACUGGUGUACUGAUGUCUCCUGGGUAUAGCCUAUGGUGGAUAUCAAAGCACGACGCCGCCGUCUUACUAUGCAACAACAACAUACGACACGACCAGUUACUACACCGAGGCCCCCAAGUACUACACCACCAAGGAACCAGAGUGUUACACAACUACAAAUGCCGCGCCAGCUUAUUACACCGAGGCUCCCAAGUACUACUCGCUCCAAGCUAGGCCUACUACACCGAGGUUCCAGCUUAUUACACCACUAAAACAGUCGAAUACUACACAGAAGUAAUCAUUGUAAUCUAUGGCGUGCUGCUGUUGGGUGUUGAAUCGUUGAUGGCUGGAUUGACCACUGGUGAGCCGAUGUCUCCUGGGUAUGGCGGGUAUGAAACCACAACGCCGGCGUCUGGCUGCACGACAACAACAUACGCAACGACCAGUUACUACACUGAGGCCUCCAAGUACUACACCACCAAUGUUCCAGAUUAUUAUACAAAAACAUAAGCUGUCCCGAGUUACUACAAAGAAGUCCUGAAGUAUUAUUCUUCCCCGAGCUCCACCACCAAGUCACUGGAGUAUUACAUAACUACGUAUGCAGCGCCAGCUUACUACACCGAGACUUCCAAGUACUACUCUGCUCUCAGCUACUGCGCCGAGGCUCCAGCUUAUCACACCACCAACGGUCGAAAAGUACACAGAAGUGCCAAAGUACUACUCUGCCCCGAGCUACACAACCCUAAAUGAGGCGGCCAAGUAUUACGUAGCCUCAACUUUCUACACAACUGCUGCCCCUUCGUAUUACGCUGAACCGAAAUACUGCACUGAAGUCCCAGUUUACUACACCACAACCUACGCUACACUCUGCUACUACACCGAAGCUCUGAAGUAGUACACUACCAAGGGACCUGAGUACUAUGCCACUACAUACGAUGCUCCGACCUACUACACCGAAGCUCCGAAGUGUUACUCUGCUUCCAGUUACUACACCGUUAAGGCAUCUGAAUGUUACACCUCGACCUACGCUUCUCCAACUUACUACAGGAAGGUUCCUAAGUAUUAGAGCCGAAUAGGUUUUAUUUAUUUGUGUAUAGAUUUUCUGUCAUAUCAUAAUAGUUACUUGUCACUGGUAAUUGUUAUUGAUCUUAAAUGAGAAAAUACACUUUUUAAAGCGGGUAA